CCCUUAGAGUUUGAUCCUGGCUCAGAGCGAACGCUGGCGGCAGGCCUAACACAUGCAAGUCGAGCGGAUGUAGCAAUACAUCAGCGGCAGACGGGAGAGUAACACGUGGGAACGUGCCCUUUGGUUCGGAAUAACUCGGGGAAACCCGAGCUAAUACCGGAUAAGCCCUUACGGGGAAAGAUUUAUCGCCAUUGGAGCGGCCCGCGUCUGAUUAGCUAGUUGGUGAGGUAACGGCUCACCAAGGCGACGAUCAGUAGCUGGUCUGAGAGGAUGAUCAGCCUCACUGGGACUGAGACACGGCCCAGACUCCUACGGGAGGCAGCAGUGGGGAAUAUUGGACAAUGGGCGCAAGCCUGAUCCAGCCAUGCCGCGUGGGUGAUGAAGGCCCUAGGGUUGUAAAGCCCUUUCGGCGGGGAAGAUAAUGACGGUACCCGCAGAAGAAGCCCCGGCUAACUUCGUGCCAGCAGCCGCGGUAAUACGAAGGGGGCUAGCGUUGCUCGGAAUUACUGGGCGUAAAGCGCACGUAGGCGGCUCUUUAAGUCGGGGGUGAAAUCCUGGAGCUCAACUCCAGAACUGCCUUCGAUACUGGAGAGCUCGAGUCCGGGAGAGGUGAGUGGAACUGCGAGUGUAGAGGUGAAAUUCGUAGAUAUUCGCAAGAACACCAGUGG
rnacentral:rRNA from 1 species